rnacentral:rRNA from 1 species
AUUGAACGCUGGCGGCAUGCCUUACACAUGCAAGUCGAACGGCAGCACGGGGGCAACCCUGGUGGCGAGUGGCGAACGGGUGAGUAAUACAUCGGAACGUGCCCAGUAGUGGGGGAUAGCCCGGCGAAAGCCGGAUUAAUACCGCAUGCGACCUACGGGUGAAAGCGGGGGAUCGCAAGACCUCGCGCUGUUGGAGCGGCCGAUGUCAGAUUAGGUUGUUGGUGGGGUAAAGGCCUACCAAGCCGACGAUCUGUAGCUGGUCUGAGAGGACGACCAGCCACACUGGGACUGAGACACGGCCCAGACUCCUACGGGAGGCAGCAGUGGGGAAUUUUGGACAAUGGGGCAACCCUGAUCCAGCCAUGCCGCGUGCGGGAAGAAGGCC